GGAGGAGUAAGGGCUGGAAGUGAG
rnacentral:piRNA from 1 species